rnacentral:lncRNA from 1 species
UCACAGUCAGUACAUUAAAUUCAGAUAUUAUUGCAUUUUUUUUAAGAAUGGACAAACAUGAGCUUAAUUAUUGCAAUUUCUAAAAAAUCUGCAUAAAGACGUAAAUGUAUCGAAUUAAGAAUACGAGUUAUCAGUAUUGUGAUGCACAUCCAUUCGCAUUAUUCCCAAUAAUUUCUGAAUUCAUUGUAACUCAUAACGCAGUUGUAUAUAAGAUAUAUCAUACUCUUAAUCGUCUCGAGUCUAAAAAUGCGUUGCAUAAAUUGAGAAAUUGAGAAAAAUAGUUACCAGCUAAAAAAACAGACAAAAGAAAGGAAACAAACAAAAAAUUGACAGAACCGCAUGAAUUUAAAAUUUGAGCGAAACCGGGCUCUUUCCUAUGAACCCCCCCCCCCCCCCCCUCCGGAUCAUAUUAAGGUAUAUACGGAAAAAAAAUUCAGAGACAAUUGCCUGUGGUAAUAAACUCAAAAGAAACAACCUAAGAUUUGCUUUAAACACAAAUUCUAUCAAAAAGAUGAAAAAGAUAAAAAAAAAAAAAUUAAAAAAAAUGACAUAUUCUACUGUCAAGGUUCCUUACUAAAAACAACCACAGGAAAAUUUAGCAAAGCUGUACUGUUUUGUAUAUCUCAAUCCUUCUUCCUUUUCGCACGGUUCCAUUUUUAACUGGUAUAAAGUGGUACAAUUUAAAGAAUUUGAUUGCGUAUUCGAAGACAAUCAAACACAUCAAAACAAAUAUUCUUUAAAAUACUUCCUGGAUUUUUUUUUCUUUUGAAAUAUAAAAGUUUAAAUAUCUUUAAAUGAUAUAUUGUAACAGGCAAACGAAAUUGAACUUGAUGCACUUAUAAAAUGCAUGGACAUUUAAAAAAAAUUAUCUGUUUCGAUCUGAUCUUAUUUUUAUUCAUGAGUCCAAGUCAUGUUAUAUUAUGAGGGUCAAGAUUGGGGUACUUUAUUUCUUUUAUUCUUAUUUAUUUUAACCAUUAUUCUCUAUUCCUUAUAUCUUAACAUCCCAUUAUCUUCUCUUUUGUUUUAAAAUCGUGCCUAUUUUUCUCUUUUCUUAAUUUUUUGUGCGUUUUAUUCAGAACUCUUUACCGAUAAUACUUUAUUCUAUAAAAAUUCAGACCCUCAUAUCUUAUGCAACAUUGAAAAUUUCCAUAUUACGUCACGUCACUGUUUUUUAUCUAGGAUUUUCCUUUACAUUUAAAAACAUUCUUUCCAGUUUCCAAUGCUUUGCAUAUCAUUUCUGGCCUUCGUGUUUUGUAGGCCUAUAUUCAGAUUUUGACAUACUUUACUCAAUAACUUUUAUAUAAAGCUUCUUUAGACACGAAGUGCUUUGAGAUAAAUAUAAACGUUUUUUGGUAUUGCCGCUUAAAGAUCGUAUUUCACCUCUUAACGUCUGCUGUUUUUGGAAUUCAGGGUUAUUGGGCGUGCAACAAAUAUGUCCUUUUGUUCAUGUAAAUAAAAAUAAUAUGUUGCGUAAGUAUUUGGACAAAAGCUUUUGUGUGAUAAUUGUGGCUGAUAGAAUUGACGUGGAGAAAUUUCUUUUACAUAAUGUAUUGAGAUUGAGGAACAUUUCCUCGUAAAAUAUGAAAUACAUUUUUUUGGAAUUCCAACUUAAAAGAAGAGUUGUGGCCAAUUCUCGGAUUGAUAAAAACUAAAACCAAGGAUAUUUCCUAAAUUUUACAUACCAAUUUGAACAGACAAAAAUUAGUUAUAAUCUAAUUGUGGAAUACUGUCAAUUCGAUCAAAAUUUCAGUAUAAAAAA